UACCAGCACCCCGAGUGGUCGGGACGUUUAUUGGGCCUAAAGCAUCCGUAGCCGGUUCUACAAGUCUUCCGUUAAAUCCACCUGCUUAACAGAUGGGCUGCGGAAGAUACUAUAGAGCUAGGAGGCGGGAGAGGCAAGCGGUACUCGAUGGGUAGGGGUAAAAUCCGUUGAUCCAUUGAAGACCACCAGUGGCGAAGGCGGCUUGCCAGAACGCGCUCGGACGGUGAGGGAUGAAAGCUGGGGGAGCAAACAGG
rnacentral:rRNA from 1 species